UAGGAAAUAAUAUAAAGGAAGUAUAAAGGGUUUUGAUCCCUUUUGUGCAGGUUCGAUUCCUGUUUUUCUAA
rnacentral:tRNA from 1 species